GACGUAGGGUGCGAGCGUUGUCCGGAUUUAUUGGGCGUAAAGAGCUCGUAGGCGGCUCGUCGCGUCGACCGUGAAAACCCGCGGCUUAACUGCGGGCUUGCGGUUGAUACGGGCGGGCUAGAGUUCGGUAGGGGAGACUGGAAUUCCUGGUGUAGCGGUGAAAUGCGCAGAUAUCAGGAGGAGCACCGGUGGCGAAGGCGGGUCUCUGGGCCGAUACUGACGCUGAGGAGCGAAAGCGUGGGGAGCGAACAGG
rnacentral:rRNA from 1 species